AACCUUGGUUUUUUUUCUCAAAGCGGCUAUGAUAGGCGGUGCCGGUCGCACCGGCUAUGACGAUAAACGCAUUGUGGAAUAAGCAGGACGGACCCGGGGGCAGUGCCCGGCGCCUCCACCAUCAUCAGCACCGGUUGGCCUUGGCCACCAGUCGAAUUAUGGGGGCGAGCCAGGAUCGACGUAUGUGGUAAAGGCAAUGUUUUCGUUCGGCAUGGUACCACCGAUAUCGGGCCAUCGAGUAGUUGCAAAUGACAACAAUGCUCCGGUUGCAGUUGCUGCCUAACGGCGGUUGCUAAAACCAAUUUAAAGUCCAGUGAGUUGAGCCUUGCUGGCGGGGUUUUGGGCGCACCUGGCAACAGAAGCGUCCUCCU
rnacentral:tmRNA from 1 species